AUGCCUAAGACUCUGGGUUACUAGGAUAUCCGUGGGCUGGGUCACGCCAUCCGCCUGCUCCUGGAAUACACAGAAACAAGCUACGAAGAGAAGAGAUACGCCAUGGGGGACGGUAAUGAUUAUGAAUGAUGCCAGCAGGCAGGUGAUAUCUUCAAGCUGGGCCUGGACUUCCCCAGUCUGCCCUAUUUAAUUGAUGGGUCACACAAGGUCACCCAGAGCAAUGCCAUCCUGCGCUACCUUGCUCGCAAAAACCACCUGUGUGGAGAGGCAGAGGAGGAGAGGAUCUGUGUAGACGUUGUGGAGAACCAGGUCAUGGACACCUGCAUGCAGAUGAGCAGGGCUGCUGAAGACCUGACUCUGAGAAGUGAAAGCCAGAGUUCUUGAAGGGCCUUCCAGACCAGCUGAAGCUCUAUUCUGAGUUCCUGGGGGUAGCAGCCAUGUUUGCAGGGAACAAGGUCACCUUUGCAGAUUUCCUUGUCUAUGACGUCCUUGAUCAGCACCAGAUAUUUGAGCCCAAGUGCCUGGACGCCUUCCCGAACCUGUUGGACUUCGUGGCCCGCUUUGAGCUGGGUCACGCCAUCCGCCUGCUCCUGGAAUACACAGAAACAAGCUACGAAGAGAAGAGAUACGCCAUGGGGGACGCUCCUGACUAUGACCGAAGCCAGUGGCUGAAUGACAAAUUCAAGCUGGACCUGGACUUUCCCAAUCUGCCCUACUUAAUUGAUGGGUCACACAAGGUCACCCAGAGCAAUGCCAUCCUGCGCUACCUUGGCCGCAAGCACAACCUGUGUGGAGAGACAGAGGAGGAGAGGAUCCGUGUGGACAUUUUGGAGAAACAGGUUAUGGACACCCGCAUUCAGAUGGGGACGCUCUGCUACAGCCCUGACUUCGAGAAACGGAAGCCAGAGUUCUUGAAGGGCCUCCCAGACCAGCUGAAGCUCUACUCUGAGUUCCUGGGGAAGCAGCCAUGGUUUGCAGGGAACAAGGUCACCUUUGCAGAUUUCCUUGUCUAUGACGUCCUUGAUCAGCACCAGAUGUUUGAGCCCAAGUGCCUGGACGCCUUCCCGAACCUGUUGGACUUCGUGGCCCGCUUUGAGGGCCUGAAGAAGAUCUCUGCCUAUAUGAAGACCAGCCGCUUCCUUCCAAGUCCUGUGUACUUAAAACAGGCCACAUGGGGCAACAAGUAGGAUCCUGCAUGGAGAGCCAGUGCUGGUAGGGAAGAUCUGUCAGUGCAUCUGUCACCCUGGAUGCUGACUGGGGCAUAGCUACUAGCUUCCAGUAACUUCUGUACAUCAAACUUCCCAUUUUUCUCCGUCAUUUCAUUAACUUUCCCUCUACAAGAACUCCUUGUCUCCCCUUUCACUCAAACCUCCAAAUGUCAGUUCCCUGUCCUCAGAAAAGUCCUUUUCUUCCCCUGUUUUUUUUCUGUCAUGUUUCUAACCAGACAGUCUUUCACUGCACUUUGAGCAGUUAGCCCAAAGAUCCAUACUCCCUGGUAUGCAGGCUUGGUCUCCACUCCAGAGUGGGAUGGCCCAGGCUUGUUUGCUCUCUAGUAAAGUAUUAUCCAUACCUGC